AGCAGCCGCGGUAAUUCCAGCUCCAAUAGCGUAUAUUAAAGUUGUUGCAGUUAAAAAGCUCGUAGUUGAAUUUCGGGGUCAGUAGGUUGGUCAUGCCACUGGUAUGUACUGGUCUCACUGAUUCCUCCUUCCUGAUGAGCCGUAAUGCCAUUAAUUUGGUGUUGCGAGGAAUCUGGACUGUUACUUUGAAAAAAUUAGAGUGUUUAAAGCAGGCUAACGCUUGAAUACAUUAGCAUGGAAUAAUGAAAUAGGACGUUCGAUCUUAUUUUGUAGGUUUCUAAGAUUGACGUAAUGAUUAAUAGGGAUAGUUGGGGGCAUUAGUAUUCAAUUGUCAGAGGUGAAAUUCUUGGAUUUAUUGAGGACUAACUACUGCGAAAGCAUUUGCCAAGGAUGUUUUCAUUAAAUCAAGAACGAAAGUUAGGGGAUCGAGACGAUCAGAUACCGUCGUAGUCUUAACCAUAAACUAUGCCGACUAGGGAUCGGAUGAUGUAAUUUUUAUGA
rnacentral:rRNA from 1 species